rnacentral:rRNA from 1 species
CCUACGGGGGGCAGCAGUGGGGAAUAUUGCACAAUGGGGGAAACCCUGAUGCAGCAACGCCGAGUGAGCGAUGAAGGCCUUCGGGUCGUAAAGCUCUGUCCUAAGGGAAGAAUACUGACGGUACCUUAGGAGGAAGCCCCGGCUAACUACGUGCAAGCAGCCGCGGUAAUACGUAGGGGGCUAGCGUUAUCCGGAAUUACUGGGCGUAAAGGGUGCGUAGGCGGCUCUUCAAGUCAGAGGUGUAAUGCUACGGCUCAACCGUAGUAAGCCUUUGAAACUGUAGGGCUUGAGUGCAGGCGAGGGGAGUAGAAUUCCCAGUGUAGGCGUGAAAUGCGUAGAUAUUGGGAGGCACACCAGUUGCGAAGGCGGCUCUCGGGACUGUAACUGACGCUGAGGCACGAAAGUGUGGGGAGCGAACAGGAUUAGAUACCCCUGUAGUC